rnacentral:lncRNA from 1 species
UAAAUGUGUUAAUUUUGAGUGUUGGCGAAGGUGUCGGUGAUUCAUAGGAGGCGAUGACGACGGUCAUGGGUCUUGGCUGUGGCCUCCAUCGAUGGAGCCAUGCGAGCUUCACAAGUCUCAAUCCUUCACAUUAUCGUCCAUGUUUCAUACAUCUGCGUGUUUAUUAAUCCAUCCGUUAGUUCUUUCGUGUGUGGGUGAAUGAGCAUCGUAAACAGAAUUCUGUAUGCUGGUGGUGUUCCCUUUCAUUGAAUGUGUGGAUGAUAAAAACAAAUAGAAAAACCGUGUGACUACUUUUGUGACUUGAUUUCACUCCAUGUUGCAAUAUUAUAUAGAUUGAUUUAUUGUUAUUAUUAUUAUUUUUUUAAUGUCAAGCUGAGCAGCGUAGUAACUCAACCAUGAUGGUGAGUGAUUGUUUUAAGUGCUACAAAUACAUAAUUUAAAACAAAUAAACUAAAUAAAUGAUGAUGUUUGGUUGU